rnacentral:rRNA from 1 species
ACGGGAGGCAGCAGUGGGGAAUCUUCCGCAAUGGACGAAAGUCUGACGGAGCAACGCCGCGUGAGUGAAGACGGCCUUCGGGUUGUAAAGCUCUUUGAUCCGGGACGAAUGGUUCCUGUGAUAAUACCACAGGGAAGUGACGGUACCGGAAGAACAAGCCACGGCUAACUACGUGCCAGCAGCCGCGGUAAUACGUAGGUGGCAAGCGUUGUCCGGAAUUAUUGGGCGUAAAGCGCGCGCAGGCGGCCCUUUAAGUCCAUCUUAAAAGCGUGGGGCUUAACCCCAUGAUGGGAUGGAAACUGGAGGGCUGGAGUAUCGGAGAGGAAAGCGGAAUUCCUAGUGUAGCGGUGAAAUGCGUAGAGAUUAGGAAGAACACCGGUGGCGAAGGCGGCUUUCUGGACGACAACUGACGCUGAGGCGCGAAAGCGUGGGGAGCAAACAGGAUUAGAUACCCUGGUA